CCCUUAGAUGUUCUGGGCCGCACGCGCGCUACACUGAUGAAUUCAACGAGCUCCUAACCUAGGCCGAAGGGUCCGGGUAAUCUUUGAAAUUUCAUCGUGAUGGGGAUAGAUUAUUGCAAUUAUUAAUCUUCAACGAGGAAUUCCUAGUAAGCGCGAGUCAUCAGCUCGCGUUGAUUACGUCCCUGCCCUUUGUACACACCGCCCGUCGCUCCUACCGAUUGAAUGGUCCGGUGAAAUGUUCGGACCGCGACAAGGCGGACGGUUCGCUGUCAGCUUUGCUGCGGGAAGCUCAUUAAACCUUAUCAUUUAGAGGAAGGAGAAGUCGUAACA
rnacentral:rRNA from 1 species